AGAGCGAACGCUGGCGGCAGGCCUAACACAUGCAAGUCGAGCGCCCCGCAAGGGGAGCGGCAGACGGGAGAGUAACACGUGGGAACGUACCCUUUGGUUCGGAACAACACAGGGAAACUUGUGCUAAUACCGGAUAAGCCCUUACGGGGAAAGAUUUAUCGCCAAAGGAUCGGCCCGCGUCUGAUUAGCUUGUUGGUGAGGUAACGGCUCACCAAGGCUACGAUCAGUAGCUGGUCUGAGAGGAUGAUCAGCCUCACUGGGACUGAGACACGGCCCAGACUCCUACGGGAGGCAGCAGUGGGGAAUAUUGGACAAUGGGCGCAAGCCUGAUCCAGCCAUGCCGCGUGGAUGAUGAAGGCCCUAGGGUUGUAAAGUCCUUUGACGGGGAAGAUAAUGACGGUACCCGUAGAAGAAGCCCCGGCUAACUUCGUGCCAGCAGCCGC
rnacentral:rRNA from 1 species